rnacentral:rRNA from 1 species
GGCCUACGGGAGGCAGCAGUGGGGAAUAUUGCACAAUGGGCGAAAGCCUGAUGCAGCGACGCCGCGUGAAGGAUGAAGUAUUUCGGAAUGUAAACUUCUAUCAGCAGGGAAGAAAAUGAAGGUACCUGACUAAGAAGCCCCGGCUAAAUACGUGCCAGCAGCCGAGGUAAUACGUAGGGGGCAAGCGUUAUCCGGAUUUACUGGGUGUAAAGGGAGCGUAGACGGCGAUGCAAGCCGGAUGUGCAGGCC